CUAUAAUAAAGUAAACUCAAUGUGUACACGUGGCAACUUUUUAGAUGAAUGAAUUGUUGAUUUUGGCGGGGGUUUGGUAUUGAGAAUGAGUUCGUAUAUGGGUCUAUACAUACCUGAAUUCCUCUUUAUUCGGAUCCAUUAGAAACAAAAGAAACCCCAUAUCCCUCUUUUGCAGAAACCCUAGCGUCAAAAUCUCUCAGCCAAUUCCUUCUUCUUCCCUUCAAUGCACAACGAUUUACAAGAAGUGGUGAAGUUUGUUCAGAGUAUGCCAAGACACUUUAUUUAGAUGAUGUUGCUUCAGUUGCACUCAUUCCAACUCCAGUUCCAGUUUCAACAAACCCAAAGUGGCUACUGAACUCGCAUUAAAAUACAUUACACUUAGACCCUUCAGCUGGGAUCAAGAUACUGACAAAGUCAAGGUACACUUUCUUUUUGUAUCUAGAAGGACCAUUUUCAUUCUUCACCGUUUUACGCCUUUUAACGGAUGAAUGCUUUUGUUACCUACUUAAUUGGUAAUACCAGCGGAUCUAGGAACAAAACCAGAAUUACUCAGACAAUUUAUGUGUUCUUUUGAAUGAAGAUAGAAUCUUGAUCAUAACAAAGAAAUUCACAAUUAUUGAUCUUGAAAUGAUAUCGUUCAUUAGGUUUUAUUAGGUGGACACACAAUUUAGAUGGGACCAAAAAAGUUUGAAACAAAAGUUGUUGCUUGGAGUAAGGGGUUAUUGGUAAUGCAGAGCGGCCCAUAGUAAUUAGUAGCCCGUAUAUUUUGGGUUUGUAAUAUGUCAAAAACGUUUUGUCAAGUGAUGGUUUGAUUUGAAUUCACUAAAUUUUAUGGUUUGCAAGUAUAUCAUGAAGAUAUGAAGAUUUUUGAUGAUGA